rnacentral:lncRNA from 1 species
GAGAUAGUGAUAGAUGGUGCAUGGCAAGACAGGUGAGCCACUGAGUCCUCAGACAGCACUCUCCCCCCCAGCAUGUGAUGAAGAGCAACGCCUGGUGCUGCCUCAGCGCCGGCAGAACAGCUCUGGGAACGCCUGUCCUGCCAGCAGAGCACUGGGGAGAAGAGGACGCGCCUCCUGCUCAGAGGAAGGGAUGUCAGUGUGUGGGCACAUGGCCCAGCUCCCAGCCUGUUCUCCUGGCUGGGAGGGGCGUUCCCAUAAGAGAAGCCUGGGGCAGCAGAGGAGUUACUGUUCUCCUGUAACCCCAGCUUCAAUGGAGUUGAUGCCCAAAACAGCUGAGGAAGAACUGGGCUGAGAGCCCCAGCUGACAGUGCCUGUCUGAACUGAUGUGCUGAGAGAGACUCGUCCAGCAAGAGAUGGAGUAGAUACAGAGCACAGGGACCCAGUUAGCUCUACAAUGUCUUAGUAGUGCAGUUGUAAGAAAACUGCAAAAAAAUUGUAUACCAUUGUUUUCAUAUCCUUAUGUUGUGUCCAAAACUGUGUUGGUUCAUAGUCUGAUACUUCAAGAAAUAGAUGAUGAAACAAUAAAUCUUUUCCUGUAAUCUACUCUGUUGCUGGU